CGCGUAGGCGGAUGUUACAGUCAGGCGUGAAAUUCCUGGGCUCAACCUGGGGGCUGCGUUUGAUACGUGAUGUCUGGAGUUCGGAAGAGGGUCGUGGAAUUCCCAGUGUAGAGGUGAAAUUCGUAGAUAUUGGGAAGAACACCGGUGGCGAAGGCGGCGACCUGGUCCGGUACUGACGCUGAGGCGCGAAAGCGUGGGGAGCAAACAGGAUUAGAUACCCUGGUAGUCCACGCUGUAAACGAUGUGCGCUGGAUGUUGGGUGACAUAGUCAUUCAGUGUCGUAGCUAACGCGAUAAGCGCACCGCCUGGGGAGUACGGCCGCAAGGUUGAA
rnacentral:rRNA from 1 species